rnacentral:lncRNA from 1 species
CACAGGGCCCACCUGGAACAUGCGAUGCUGAAGCUGUUAAGGGUAUGAAGGGUGACCCGGGUGUCGCAGGAAUGGAUGGACAGAAGGGCGACAAAGGGGAUUCUGGUUUGCCUGGCCUGGAGGGAGCCAGUGGAAUGAAGGGGCAAAAGGGUGAGGAAGGACUACCGGGCCCCGUGAGUACUAGAGGUUCUCAGUCAGAGGUUCUGACGCAUACAGAUAUAUCACAUACAGUAGUAACACACAUGAGACUCUACAUGUUACAGAACAUCCGUUUAAACGGGAAACUUGCAUGUCUUUGAUAAACACAUUGAUCUUCAUGCCAUGAACGUCUCCACUGAGAGGAUUCAAGUCCAAUAAAUGAUUCAGAGCUACUGUGUAAAAUAAUGUCUGUGUAAGCUAAUUUUUUUUCAAAGAAGCAUUUUAUGCUCACCAAGGC